rnacentral:lncRNA from 1 species
UUCAAAUAACCCUGUGCUUACUCUACAGAGCCUUCAACUUCAGCAAAGUCAGCAACAACAGCUGCCUUGAAUCUCACCUCUUUGGACCCGGUUACUACAACCAAAAGCUCUACCACCUCUACGACAACACUAACAUCAUCCGUGCCAGAUGAAAAGUCUAAUGGAAGCAGAAACACAGUAGCCUCAUCAACUCAAGGUCAAGAGCCCAAGAGAAGCAAGAUUCC